rnacentral:rRNA from 1 species
GACGAACGCUGGCGGCGUGCUUAACACAUGCCAGUCGAACGGAAAGGCCCUGCUUUUGUGGGGUGCUCGAGUGGCGAACGGGUGAGUAACACGUGAGUAACCUGCCCUUGACUUUGGGAUAACUUCAGGAAACUGGGGCUAAUACCGGAUAGGAGCUCCUGCUGCAUGGUGGGGGUUGGAAAGUUUCGGCGGUUGGGGAUGGACUCGCGGCUUAUCAGCUUGUUGGUGGGGUAGUGGCUUACCAAGGCUUUGACGGGUAGCCGGCCUGAGAGGGUGACCGGCCACAUUGGGACUGAGAUACGGCCCAGACUCCUACGGGAGGCAGCAGUGGGGAAUAUUGCACAAUGGGCGGAAGCCUGAUGCAGCAACUCCGCGUGCGGGAUGACGGCCUUCGGGUUGUAAACCGCUUUCGCCUGUGACGAAGCGUGAGUGACGGUAAUGGGUAAAGAAGCACCGGCUAACUACGUG